GCCACUUCGGAUAUCGGGUAAAGUGUCCACCCCUACCUUCUCUCUUCUUCCUCUUCUUUUCAUCACUAUUCAUUCAUAUACACUCUUCCUCUGAAAAGUCUUUGGUAUAUGUAAUUCAGUUCCGGUUUUGUAACCUAUGUAUUAUACCUUCUCUGAAUCUUUCUAUGGUAUUUGAUUUGUUUGUUGUCUCGGUUAGUUUAGUUUGAAUCUGAAAGCUCCUUCACUGAUGCAGACGUCUAUUUCAGUGACUUUGGAGCUGUGGAAGAUGUGAGGAUACCAUAUCAGCAGCAACGGAUGUAUGGGUUUGUUACUUUCGCUAAUGCUGAAACUGUGAGAACCAUAUUGGCUCGUGGGAAUCCUCAUUUCAUCUGUGAGUCUCGUGUGCUUGUUAAACCGUAUAAGGAGAAAGGAAAGAUCCUUCAAAACAAGUGGCAACAGCAGCAACUUCAGCAGCUGUUGGAUCUCUAUGAAUGUCACUUGGGGCCAAAGAUGUUUUCAAGGAACACAGAUGAGAUGAUGAGAAGGAAAGCUGAUUUACAACAUGCCAUUGAAGUAGAACUCCAAAGAAGAAGGUUCUUGGCUCUGCAAUUGCCUGAGAGGGAGAACGAGCUUAGUUUUUCUAUCGGCUCUCCUUCUCAUCUCCCACCUCGGUUCAACCAUAGUCUUCUCUUUAAUUCAGAAAGCAGCAUGGAAGAAACCACAGAAGGUGAUAGUGAUAGAGGUGAAAGCCAUCUUCAUCUAGUACCAAACAACAACAAAGAACGUGGAUACAGUAGCGAGUUCUACAACAGCUCAUAAAGCUGGGAAAUAAAGCCACGCAAGAGUAAAGGAGCAAAGAAGAAGAAUGAGGAGAAAGAUUCUCAUUGUUAUUCAAGAAUGACAAGUCAAUUUUUGCUUCUUUACCUCUUUUUCUUUCUCUAUAACAAAAUAAUUAAUAUUGUGGUUGGGCAGUGUUGCCCAUUGCCAUAGAGAUAAGUGCUAAAACACCAGAUGAAUUCCAAGUGGCUCUCAAGGUUGUCAGAGAGCCUUACACUUUUCAUUUGAUAUAAGGUGUGAGGAAGCUCUUGGCGGUCCAUGUUCAAACAUGCCACUUCACCAACUUCUCUCUUUCUCAUCAGGAGAGGGAGCAGCUUAUUUACGAGCACAUAGAAUACUACUUGAAUGAACGCAAGCAACAUCUAAACAAGCUGCAGCGAAUGCUGAACAUAGGUAUCUGUGUUAGUGUUGGAGGGAUAUUGUUCACCGGCUGGUACGGAGGUAUCAUAACAGUUCCAAUGUUUCAAAACUGAGAGUGGAGUUUGCCGCUUGUGUUUUUCAUCUUCAUGGAAGAAGACUUAUGGAUGAUUUUAGUGUGUUUUCUUUUCUUUUUGGUUUUUGUUUAAAUUUUAAUUUGUUUUUGAGUAAUUUUUCCCCCAAAUAAAAUAGAAAAUUUAACAUCCAAAGCUUUAUCAAUUAUCACCUAAGUUAGCAAGCAAGUAAACAAAAACAAUUCUGAUUAUGGUUGGAUGACAAUUAGCUCUAUAAGCAACAAGCAAUUGUAGUAAAAUCUCCAUGAACACGGUUGCCAAGGAACAACCAAAAAACAGAUGUUGAUGUGAUUCACUAUGCCCGUAACAGAGAACACAAACAUCAGGCACAAAAACAUCUGUUCUCUUUAAAUGAUUUCACGCCUGAAAAAAAAAACAGUUUCAGUAAGGUCCACAGAUUAAAUAAGCAACAAAUGAAAAGGAGAUGAAGAAGAAGAAGCUUGCUUGGCGUGUCAACAUUCAGAGAUCCUUCCCCUAUGUGCAGCCAUUAUCAUUAUCAACACAAGAUAACACGGUUUAAUCAUCGUGUGUUUAAAGAUAUCAACAUAUCUAUUUUAAAAACAAUAUCAAAUAUUCUGUAAAACAGUUUAAGCUUGAUUUGCUCUAAUAUUAUCCAUUGUUAUAGACUAUAUAAUGUAAACAAUUACUAACUUUAAAAAAAUUAAAUUAUUAUAAAAUAAUUAAAAUCAUAAGAGAUUUGUCCCCACGGGAGUAACACUAGUUAGCUCUAUAAACAACAAGCAACUGUAGUAAACUACCAAAUGCUAAAGGAUCAUCAUGGAGAUGAGUGCAGUCAAUAUAAUCUAAAGGAAACAGAUUAGUUGAGACUGCCGGAUUGUUAAAUGCAUUUGAGAACAAGCUUUGUUAGCUAUCAAAGGACAUGAAAUCUGUGUAUUACACACUUUCUUAAAACAAAAAAGUGCAAGUAGUUAACGUCUGUUGUGAACAAUAAGGGAAAUCGUGUGUGUAUUAUUAUUUAAUCAAAGUGUUCCUUUAUAUAGGGAUUACAAGAUAAGGAUAAAAGGAAAGAGUACAAAUCCUUAUCUUAAAGGAAAAAGGAAAACUACUUAAAGAUAAACAUGAAGUGAAAAGGAAACAUCCUAAUCUAUAGUCGGCCUAAUCUUUGGCCGCCUCUCUCUCCUUCUUGGAUGCGGUCUUGGACAUGGGCCGGACGCGGUCCGUUCUUCCUUGAUAUGGUUACUAGCAAUCCACAUUGUU